UCAGGAUGAACGCUAGCGGGAGGCCUAACACAUGCAAGCCGAGCGGUAGGUUUCCUUCGGGAAACUGAGAGCGGCGCACGGGUGCGGAACACGUGUGCAACCUGCCUUUAUCAGGGGGAUAGCCUUUCGAAAGGAAGAUUAAUACCCCAUAAUAUAUCAGAUGGCAUCAUUUGAUAUUGAAAACUACGGUGGAUAAAGAUGGGCACGCGCAGGAUUAGAUAGUUGGUAGGGUAACGGCCUACCAAGUCAACGAUCCUUAGGGGGCCUGAGAGGGUGAUCCCCCACACUGGUACUGAGACACGGACCAGACUCCUACGGGAGGCAGCAGUGAGGAAUAUUGGACAAUGGGUGAGAGCCUGAUCCAGCCAUCCCGCGUGAAGGACGACGGCCCUAUGGGUUGUAAACUUCUUUUGUAUAGGGAUAAACCUACUCUCGUGAGAGUAGCUGAAGGUACUAUACGAAUAAGCACCGGCUAACUCCGUGCCAGCAGCCGCGGUAAUACGGAGGGUGCAAGCGUUAUCCGGAUUUAUUGGGUUUAAAGGGUCCGUAGGCUGAUUUGUAAGUCAGUGGUGAAAUCUCACAGCUCAACUGUGAAACUGCCAUUGAUACUGCAAGUCUUGAGUGUUGUUGAAGUAGCUGGAAUAAGUAGUGUAGCGGUGAAAUGCAUAGAUAUUACUUAGAACACCAAUUGCGAAGGCAGGUUACUAAGCAACAAC
rnacentral:rRNA from 1 species